CCUGGCUGUUAUAGUCAGAUAGGUAGUCAUGAAAGUGUCCUGGCUGUUAUAGUCAGAUAUGUAGUCAUGAAAGUGUCCUGGCUGUUAUAGUCAGAUAGGUAGUCAUGAAAGUGUCCUGGCUGUUAUAGUCAGAUAUGUAGUCAUGAAAGUGUCCUGGCUGUUAUAGUCAGAUAGGUAGUCAUGAAAGUGUCCUGGCUGUUAUAGUCAGAUAGGUAGUCAUGAAAGUGUCCUGGCUGUUAUAGUCAGAUAGGUAGUCAUGAAAGUGUCCUGGCUGUUGUAGUCAUGAAAGUGUCCUGGCUGUUAUAGUCAGAUAGGUAGUCAUGAAAGUGUCCUGGCUGUUAUAGUCAGAUAGGUAGUCAUGAAAGUGUCCUGGCUGUUAUAGUCAGAUAUGUAGUCAUGAAAGUGUCCUGGCUGUUAUAGUCAGAUAGGUAGUCAUGAAAGUGUCCUGGCUGUUAUAGUCAGAUAGGUAGUCAUGAAAGUGUCCUGGCUGUUAUAGUCAGAUAGGUAGUCAUGAAAGUGUCGUGGCUGUUAUAGUCAGAUAGGUAGUCAUGAAAGUGUCCUGGCUGUUAUAGUCAGAUAGGUAGUCAUGAAAGUGUCCUGGCUGUUAUAAUCAGAUAGGUAGUCAUGAAAGUGUCCUGGC